rnacentral:rRNA from 1 species
AACGAACGCUGGCGGCAGGCUUAACACAUGCAAGUCGAGCGAAGACUUCGGUCUUAGCGGCGGACGGGUGAGUAACGCGUGGGAAUAUGCCCUUUGCUACGGAAUAGUCCUGGGAAACUGGGGGUAAUACCGUAUGUGCCCUUCGGGGGAAAGAUUUAUCGGCAAAGGAUUAGCCCGCGUUGGAUUAGGUAGUUGGUGGGGUAAUGGCCUACCAAGCCGACGAUCCAUAGCUGGUUUGAGAGGAUGAUCAGCCACACUGGGACUGAGACACGGCCCAGACUCCUACGGGAGGCAGCAGUGGGGAAUCUUAGACAAUGGGGGCAACCCUGAUCUAGCCAUGCCGCGUGAGUGAUGAAGGCCUUAGGGUUGUAAAGCUCUUUCAGCUGGGAAGAUAAUGACGGUACCAGCAGAAGAAGCCCCGGCUAACUCCGUGCCAGCAGCCGCGGUAAUACGGAGGGGGCUAGCGUUGUUCGGAAUUACUGGGCGUAAAGCGCACGUAGGCGGACCAGCAAGUUAGGGGUGAAAUCCCGGGGCUCAACCUCGGAACUGCCUUUAAAACUGUUGGUCUGGAGUUCGAGAGAGGUGAGUGGAAUACCGAGUGUAGAGGUGAAAUUCGUAGAUAUUCGGUGGAACACCAGUGGCGAAGGCGGCUCACUGGCUCGAUACUGACGCUGAGGUGCGAAAGCGUGGGGAGCAAACAGG